UUACAUGCUUUUGCACUGGGAAAUACACUUUCAAAUUCCCAACUUUGGAAGAUUUAAUUGUGGAAGAUUGCCCCAACAUGAAGACUUUAUGUGAAGGAGUCUUAAGCACACCAAGAUUACAAACGGUAUGGGAAGACAAGUGCUUGAGUAUUGAAAGUUGUUUGGAGGGUCAACUUAAUACAAUCAUACAACAAUUACACAGAAACGUGGUUCAUUCCAAGUGGAAAUUUGCUUCUUUUGCAAGCGAUGACGGGGAAAGUGAAAGCCAUGACCUGAAAAGUGAGGGCCACGACUUGGAAAGUGAAACCUCCAAUUGAAAUCUUGAAAAACUUACACUAAAAGUGAACUACUCUAGUGCCAUCUUCAACAUCUUUUGAGCACUUGACAACUUUGGAAGUAUGACAAUGUGAUGGAUUAAGAAACCUACUUUCAUUCGCAAACGUCAAAAGUUUGAGUUGUGAGCAAGAUUCUGUCAAACUCCAAUGUAACCUGUGGAAUAAGGACUCUUUGUAUGCGGUUUGUGGGGCAUUGCAGUCCAUGUUCCUUGUGUUCAAUUUAGACAAUGAGAAGGAGAGAAACGAAAAGGGAAAACUAGUGAGAAACAGGAGACACAUGCAACGCAGGGGAGGGAGAAAGUAAUGAAAACAGUUUUUUCUGGCAUUUAUCCAACGAUGAAUCUUGCUUCAUUUUGGCUCAAAUUUCAUAACAUUAUUGUCGAUGAUAAGAUCUUCACAUGCAACAAUCAGUUUCUCGAUAGUCCUCUUCAAUGUGGUGUUUAGGUGAGAUCGCCCAUUUUGUCUCUAUCUUGUUAGGAUGAUGAUUUGUAAUGUUGUUAUAGCCCCUAGUUUUAUCUAGAGAAUAAAUCAUUGUACGCAUUAUUUAAUAUAGUAGAAGUUGAAAUCGGACUACGGUCUCGUGGUUUUUCCCAUUUGGGUUUUCCACGUAAAAUUCAGUGUCUCGUUUGUGAUUGAUUGAUCCUGUAUUUUGCUGGUGUUUUGAUUUAAAUUAUUAGACUAAGUUUGUGAACGCAUUUAAAUCACACAAAGACGGAAAAAUUAUUUGCUUCGGUUUUGUAGAUUGUUCACUGCAGCCGAUCCGGUUUUUGACCCAGGAAAUGUUCGACAAUUCCUUGCCAUUUGCUAGUUGUUGGAUUCAUUACUCAAGUAUGAAUUAUGUGACUAUGGAUGUUAAUUGAUUACUGUAUGUUUCACACAUU